UAUUUUACAGAAAUAACUUCAAGUAAUUCAAUAGAAAAUCAGAAAUAAGAUAAUCACAGUUGUCUCUCUCAACCCAGGAACCAAUGUAAAAGCAGUAAAACGCAUUACAGUUCCUUUAUAGAAAAUAUCAUCCAUUCUUUAAAACAUUUAAAGGAGAAAACUGAUGACAACGAUUGAUUCCUUUGUUGAGCCACAUUAGAUUAUUCUGAAGAAUAGGAGGAAGAUCAGCAGAGGCGUUUUUUUUUUCCUCUCCUGUUUUUUUAUGUUAUAGAAAGUGAUGAGUGAUCGAUAGAAUCAUAAAAAAAGGGGGAGGAGGAGAAGAGGGAGAAGAAGAGGAAGAGGAAAGAGAAGAGGUGGUUAUCAUGAUUGAAUACAUUGGUUAUGAAAGGUCUACAUGGAAUAGAUGGCACAUCACCCCCAACACCACUUCAUCCUUUUUCUGAAUGAGAUGAUGCUCGCUAGAACUGUUACGAGGAUGCAAAGUCGCUCUACUCUCAUCACAGUUUAUCUGUAAUAAAUUACUUCACCAGAAGUAGAGCGUGACGGACAGAUUCACGUGAAAAAAAAAAGUCAAGCAUAUGUGCCGUACAGAAGCUGUCAAUGUUCUAAUGCCAUUAUCGAUGAUACAGAAGCGUAGAUGUGAUGCUGAUUACCUAAAAGGGGAAUGGAUAAAUCUAGUGUUGUAAGAGUGCAAACUCUUUGAAGAUUUUUCAUCACGCAAUUGUUAAAUUUUAUCUAAUAUUUCGUGCAGAUUACGUACUAAAACGAUGACGUGCAA